rnacentral:rRNA from 1 species
CCGACGGUGAGGGAUGAAAGCUGGGGGGCAAACCGGAUUAGAUACCCGGGUAGUCCCAGCCGUAAACGAUGUGCGUUAGGUGUAUCGGUGACCACGAGUCACCGAGGUGCCGAAGAGAAAUCGUGAAACGUACCGCCUGGGAAGUACGGUCGCAAGGCUGAAACUUAAAGGAAUUGGCGGGGGAGCACCACAACAGGUGGAGCCUGCGGUUUAAUCGGACUCAACGCCGGGAAACUCACCAGAUAAGACAGCUGAAUGAUAGUCGGGCUGAAGACUCUACUUGACUAGCUGAGAGGAGGUGCAUGGCCGUCGUCAGUUCGUACUGUGAAGCAUCCUGUUAAGUCA